AGACUUUGAUUCUGGCUCAGAUUGAACGCUGGCGGCGUGCCUAACACAUGCAAGUCGAGCGAGAAAGGGUCCUUCGGGGCCUGAGUAGAGCGGCGCACGGGUGAGUAACGCGUAGGUGAUCUACCCUUUGGAUCGGGAUAACAGUUGGAAACGGCUGCUAAUACUGGAUGUGCUCCAUAUUUAACUUUAUGGGGGAAAGGUGGCCUCUGCAUGCAAGCUACCACCAAAGGAUGAACCUGCGUCUCAUUAGCUUGUUGGUGGGGUAAUGGCCUACCAAGGCGACGAUGAGUAGCUGGUCUGAGAGGAUGAUCAGCCACACUGGGACUGGAACACGGCCCAGACUCCUACGGGAGGCAGCAGUGGGGAAUAUUGCGCAAUGGGCGAAAGCCUGACGCAGCGACGCCGCGUGAGGGAAGAAGGCUCUCGGGUCGUAAACCUCUGUCAGAAGGGAAGAAACCCUUGAGGUCGAAUAGGCUUCUUGGCUGACGGUACCUUCAGAGGAAGCACCGGCUAAUUCCGUGCCAGCAGCCGCGGUAAUACGGAAGGUGCA
rnacentral:rRNA from 1 species